AAACCAGCACCUCAAGUGGUCAGGAUGAUUAUUGGGCCUAAAGCAUCCGUAGCCUGCUCUGUAAGUUUUCGGUUAAAUCUGUACGCUCACCGUACAGGCUGUCGGGAAUACUGCAGAGCUAGGGAGUGGGAGAGGUAGACGGUACUCGGGAGGAAGUGGUAAAAUGCUUUGAUCUCUCGAUGACCACCUGUGGCGAAGGCGGUCUACCAGAACACGUCCGACGGUGAGGGAUGAAAGCUGGGGGAGCAAACCGGAUUAGAAACCCGAGUAGUCC
rnacentral:rRNA from 1 species